AGCUCCAAUAGCGUAUAUUAAAGUUGUUGCAGUUAAAAAGCUCGUAGUUGGAUUUGUGGCUGUCUCGAGCGGCCUGACACCUAGUGUUAGUGCUUGCUUGAGUCGCCAUCCUUGGGUGGAACCUGUGUGGCAUUAGGUUGUCGUGCAGGGGAUGCCCAUCGUUUACUGUGAAAAAAUUAGAGUGUUCAAAGCAGGCUUAUGCCGUUGAAUAUAUUAGCAUGGAAUAAUAAGAUAGGACCUUGGUACUAUUUUGUUGGUUUGCGCACCAAGGUAAUGAUUAAUAGGGACAGUUGGGGGUAUUCGUAUUCCAUUGUCAGAGGUGAAAUUCUUGGAUUUCUGGAAGACGAACUACUGCGAAAGCAUUUACCAAGGAUGUUUUCA
rnacentral:rRNA from 1 species